rnacentral:rRNA from 1 species
ACUGCGAGUGAAGAGGGAAGAGCUCAUCAUUGGAAUCUGGCAGUGUUGCACUGUCCGAGUUGUAGAUGAGGAGUAGUCCAUCUGGACUGCAUGGCGUCCAAGUACAAUAGGCCGUCAGUGGGACAUCAUAGAGGGUGACAAUCCCGUCCUUGAUGCCAAUGUGCAAGUCCGUUACGAUGGCUAUCUCAGAGAGUCGAGCAGUUUGGGAUUUGCUGCUUAAACAUGGGAGGUAGAUUCCUUCUAAAGCUAAAUACAGGCGAGAGACCGAUAGAGAACAAGUACCGCAAGGGAAAGAUGAAAUAGAACUCUGUGAAGGGAGUCAAAAGGCGUGAAAUUGUUGCGAGAGAAGCGAUUCAAGUCAGCGUAGCUAGGCCCAUCAAGCGUCUCGCUUUGGACUAGCUUUGCCAGCGGUCUUGUCCUCGGAGACUUGACAAAUUGUGUCCAGCCUGGUAUGCACAGGCAGCCCCCCUGGGGGCCAGCGGCACGGCUGGUGGAAUGGCUUGCAAUCGACCCGUCUUGAAACACGGACCAAGGAGUCUAACAUGUAUGCGAGUAUAAGGGUGGCAAACCCGUAUGCGCAAUGAAAGUGAUUUUCGGUGAUUGAGAAUGGCCUGAUGACCAGACAAGCAAUACAUGUCCCUCGGACGGCCAUUGCCCAAGUUCCGUGGUAGAUCCCACGAACAUGGAGUUGGAGCAUACAUGCUAGGACCCGAAAGAUGGUGAACUAUGCCUGGACAAAGCGAAGCCAAAGGAAACUCUGGUGGAGGCUUGUAGCGAUUCUGACGUGCAAAUCGAUCGUCUGAUCUGGGUAUAGGG